UACAGAGGGGGCGAGCGUUGUUCGGAAUUACUGGGCGUAAAGGGUGCGUAGGAGGGCAGGUAAGUCAGUGGUGAAAUCCCCGAGCUUAACUUGGGAACUGCCGUUGAUACUAUCUGUCUUGAAUGCUGUGGAGGUGAGCGGAAUAUGUCAUGUAGCGGUGAAAUGCUUAGAUAUGACAUAGAACACCAAUUGCGAAGGCAGCUCGCUACACAGUUAUUGACUCUGAGGCACGAAAGCGUGGGGAUCAAACAGG
rnacentral:rRNA from 1 species